rnacentral:rRNA from 1 species
UACGUAGGGGGGCAAGCGUUGUCCGGAAUCAUUGGGCGUAAAGCGCGUGUAGGCGGCUCGGUAAGUCUGCUGUGAAAGUCCAGGGCUCAACCCUGGGAUGCCGGUGGAUACUGUCGAGCUCGAGUCCGGAAGAGGCGAGUGGAAUUCCUGGUGUAGCGGUGAAAUGCGCAGAUAUCAGGAGGAACACCAAUGGCGAAGGCAGCUCGCUGGGACGUGACUGACGCUGAGGCGCGAAAGCGUGGGGAGCAAACAGG